UACGGAGGGGGCUAGCGUUGUUCGGAAUUACUGGGCGUAAAGCGCGCGUAGGCGGCUUUGCAAGUUAGAGGUGAAAGCCCGGGGCUCAACUCCGGAAUUGCCUUUAAAACUGCAUCGCUAGAAUUGUGGAGAGGUAAGUGGAAUUCCGAGUGUAGAGGUGAAAUUCGUAGAUAUUCGGAAGAACACCAGUGGCGAAGGCGACUUACUGGACACAUAUUGACGCUGAGGUGCGAAAGCGUGGGGAGCGAACAGG
rnacentral:rRNA from 1 species